GAUGAACGCUGGCGGCGUGCCUAAUACAUGCAAGUCGAGCGAACAGACGAGGAGCUUGCUCCUCUGACGUUAGCGGCGGACGGGUGAGUAACACGUGGAUAACCUACCUAUAAGACUGGGAUAACUUCGGGAAACCGGAGCUAAUACCGUAUAAUAUAUUGAACCGCAUGGUUCAAUAGUGAAAGACGGUUUUGCUGUCACUUAUAGAUGGAUCCGCGCCGCAUUAGCUAGUUGGUAAGGUAACGGCUUACCAAGGCAACGAUGCGUAGCCGAACUGAGAGGGUGAUCGGCCACACUGGAACUGAGACACGGUCCAGACUCCUAAGGGAGGCAGCAGUAGGGAAUCUUCCGCAAUGGGCGAAAGCCUGACGGAGCAACGCGGCGUGAGUGAUGAAGGUCUUCGGAUCGUAAAACUCUGUUAUUAGGGAAGAACAAAUGUGUAAGUAACUAUGCACGUCUUGACGGUACCUAAUCAGAAAGCCACGGCUAACUACGUG
rnacentral:rRNA from 1 species